rnacentral:rRNA from 1 species
AACGAACGCUGGCGGCAUGCCUAACACAUGCAAGUCGAACGAGACCUUCGGGUCUAGUGGCGCACGGGUGCGUAACGCGUGGGAACCUGCCCUUAGGUUCGGAAUAACUCCCCGAAAGGGGUGCUAAUACCGGAUAAUGUCUUCGGACCAAAGAUUUAUCGCCUUUGGAUGGGCCCGCGUUGGAUUAGCUAGUUGGUAGGGUAAAAGCCUACCAAGGCGACGAUCCAUAGCUGGUCUGAGAGGAUGAUCAGCCACACUGGGACUGAGACACGGCCCAGACUCUUCCGGGAGGCAGCAGUGGGGAAUAUUGGACACUGGGCGAAAGCCUGAUCCAGCAAUGCCGCGUGAGUGAUGAAGGCCUUAGGGUUGUAAAGCUCUUUUACCCGGGAUGAUAAUGACAGUACCGGGAGAAUAAGCUCCGGCUAACUCCGU